rnacentral:rRNA from 1 species
AUUGAACGCUGGCGGCAGGCCUAACACAUGCAAGUCGAGCGGUAGAGAGAAGCUUGCUUCUCUUGAGAGCGGCGGACGGGUGAGUAAUGCCUAGGAAUCUGCCUGGUAGUGGGGGAUAACGUCCGGAAACGGACGCUAAUACCGCAUACGUCCUACGGGAGAAAGCAGGGGACCUUCGGGCCUUGCGCUAUCAGAUGAGCCUAGGUCGGAUUAGCUAGUUGGUGGGGUAAUGGCUCACCAAGGCGACGAUCCGUAACUGGUCUGAGAGGAUGAUCAGUCACACUGGAACUGAGACACGGUCCAGACUCCUACGGGAGGCAGCAGUGGGGAAUAUUGGACAAUGGGCGAAAGCCUGAUCCAGCCAUGCCGCGUGUGUGAAGAAGGUCUUCGGAUUGUAAAGCACUUUAAGUUGGGAGGAAGGGCAGUAAAUUAAUACUUUGCUGUUUUGACGUUACCGACAGAAUAAGCACCGGCUAACUCUGUGCCAGCAGCCGCGGUAAUACAGAGGGUGCAAGCGUUAAUCGGAAUUACUGGGCGUAAAGCGCGCGUAGGUGGUUCGUUAAGUUGGAUGUGAAAUCCCCGGGCUCAACCUGGGAACUGCAUUCAAAACUGACGAGCUAGAGUAUGGUAGAGGGUGGUGGAAUUUCCUGUGUAGCGGUGAAAUGCGUAGAUAUAGGAAGGAACACCAGUGGCGAAGGCGACCACCUGGACUGAUACUGACACUGAGGUGCGAAAGCGUGGGAGCAAACAGGAUUACAUACCCUAGUAGUCAAGGGCGAUUUCCACAUGGAUAUCAAGCUUAUCGAUACCGUCGACUCGAGGGGGGGCCCGGACCGAGCUUUGUUCCUUUGUUAAAGAAUAAAUAAACGCUUGCAAACAUGGC